UCCCUGGUGGCUCAGAUGGUAAAGCAUCUGCCUGCAAUGUGGAAGACCUGGGUUCGAUCCCUGGGUCGGGAA
rnacentral:tRNA from 1 species